UCCAACUGAGACAAAGGGGGUGUAGGGGGAGAGAGGUAAACAGAAUGAACAAGAGACAGAGAGAGAGAGAGAGAGUUUCACACUGUCUUUCUUUAACAGUGAGUGAGCACAAAGCUAAAGUCUUGCUACACAGGAAGAGUCAAAAGGAAGGUACAAAACCACAGAGCUGAAAUAUAUAAUCCGCCUGUCUCCCAAGCAGUUAGUCAUCCAAUACAGCCUGUAUAAAAAAAAAAAAACUGUCUAACUGACAAAGCGGCAACAGCAUGACUGCGUUUGGAGCACAGCCUGGACUGCACAAAACUGGACCGAGGGCAACCACAGACUGACAACGACGAAGAGACUCCAAAUCCUGCGAGAACAGUGAACUAAACUGGAAAAAAAUCUGUGAAUGAGGCAAGCCUGCGCUUACAGAAGUAUAGAGAACCCAUCAAAACAAGACUGGACAGCAGUCAAAACACAGCUUGUACGAAACUCUGGAGAGCUCUGUGGAGGUAGUUUCAGUGAACUGUCUGCUUUGGAACUCCCAACUCUACACUUUGAGCUAAAGGAAAGGCAAAAAAAAAAACCCCAAAAAACACAGGCCCACUCAGCAUUUUCCCCUCAGACAGCUGCGACCAUCUAACGGAAUGGACGCCAAACAGGAGACACUUAACAUUCUUCAAAAGAUCUGGACCAAGCUGCAGGGAGUUCCUCAAGGAAACACCUACGAGAUAGCGGGCUUCCUCAUCCUCCUUAUCUUCGUCUUGACGUUCCUGAGCUUGGUGGUGUUUGCUUGUGCACAGUGCUGCUGCAGCUGUGGAAGAAGACCCAGAAGUAAGGACUCUGUCAUCUGAACCGUCAUUACAAUUCAGUCAGCCAAUUUUAGCUUGCUUUAAAGGAUGGAGGACUACCAGAGAAAGACAGAGCCCCAAAAAGAAAGGGAUAUGAAGAGAGGACACCAUUGCGGGACGAAAUUGCUAUGUUUUGGGGGCCAUUCAGUAUUAUGCAUCUAUGAUCCUUUCAUGCCUUUGACCAUGAGACUCUCAAACAAUAGAAAACAUCCCUGUGGACAGUAAGGCUAGCCUUAUACUUAUUUUACACAUAUGCUCAUUUAAAAUAUUGCUUAUUGGUAUUAUCCAUCUUCCAUUUUCAGAGGAGACAUGUCCUGUAAAUCCCUGUACAUAGUGUCAAGUGAAGGAACAACAAUUAUGUUCAUGCAAGAAAUCAAGGCUGCAAGAGCUGGCAGUUCAUUUGUAUACACAUUGUGUAACAGUAAUAUUAAACAACAAAGACUGUUUUAAAAAGAGAAAAAGUGUCAAUGCUAUGCGAAACUAAAUGGAACCAACUUAGGAAUGGAAGGAGCAAAUACUAUUUAAUAUCAAAUGUGACAGCAGUGUUUUCCUCAUUUAUUUAUUUUGUGUUAUGUGACUGACGUUUCACAAUAAAUACCACUAUAUAUACACUAGUAAA